rnacentral:tRNA from 1 species
GCCCCUGUAGCUCAGUGGAUAGAGCGUUGGCCUCCGGAGCCAAAGACGGCAGUUCGAAUCUGCCCAGGGGUA